CUGGCGACCGGCGCACGGGUGAGUAACACGUAUCCAACCUGCCCUUUACUCGGGGAUAGCCUUUCGAAAGAAAGAUUAAUACCCGAUAGCAUAAUGAUUCCGCAUGGUUUCAUUAUUAAAGGAUUCCGGUAAAGGAUGGGGAUGCGUUCCAUUAGGUUGUUGGUGAGGUAACGGCUCACCAAGCCGACGAUCAGUAGCCGACCUGAGAGGGUGACCGGCCACAUUGGGACUGAGACACGGCCCAG
rnacentral:rRNA from 1 species